CUUGCCCAAGCUCCACUCCCUCUCGGUCUCUUCCUGUCGCGACCAGCUACCUCUGCUCGUCGUCGUUUCCAUCACCCUAUGGCUCCCCGUCGCCGCCCUCUUCCUCACAUCUCCCCAUCACCGGCCUCUUCCAAGCCGCUACCCACCACAACCUUUCUCUCCCCCACCCAUUUUCCUCUCAAUCCCCACACACCCCGAGUGCGCCUGAAAUCUAAUGGUCAAAGGUGGCAAAUUACUGCGCCGGCGACGAGCUUCUGGGCGACGGGGCCGCUGGAUCGGCAAGCGCCGGCGCUGAUCUGCGUGCCCUGCCCGGCAAACGGCGCCUCGUGCCCCGUCACGCUCAUCCUGGGCGACGACAUCGGACCCCUCAUCCCCGGAGCCGUGCAGCAGGUCAUGGAGCUCGCCCCUCUACUUCAAGACCUGGUCACGGUAGACGCGCAGCAGGUCAUGGAGCUCGACCCUCUACUCCAUCAGCCCCUGUUCUGCCUCAAGGGUGAGGAGGAACAGCGAUAUCCGCAUGGUGCCAGUGCGCCGCAAGGUCACGCAGCUGCUCGACGGCAACCACAACAAGACGGUGCGAAUCAGGCUUGUGAAUGUAGCGCAGUUGAUCCGAUUGGCGAUGCUAUUGUGUAAAUGGGUCGCAGCUGCAACUAAAUUUACUGGAAAAUCAUUACAGCAUCAACUUUCUGCUAGAUGAACCGAGUGCAGCUCUGCAAUAGGAUGUCCUUUGUUCCAAGAAUCAGUGUUCAAUUCUUGUUUAGGUUUAGAUGGCCUACAUAUCAGUGUUGUAUCUUCCAACAAUCAGUCCGUGUGAUGUCCAAUUCUUUCCCUAGCUUUGUACCCAAUCUCUUCUUCUUUCAUUGGUUUCUGAUUGAAUUUUGUUAUUCAUUUUGUAGGGAAAGCUGAAACUGAUUUCAGUUUGGUAGCACCUGUAGUCUGAUGGAUAAAUGAUGAGUGCACUCUUACAUGCAAGGAGCUCCGCCCGCUCUGGGUCAGACAUGGAGGACAGGAAAAAGCAUUCGCCCGCCACAAACUCCCCCUUGUUAUCUCUGAUCACCAUACCGCAGCCUCCAUUGCCCUGAGAAGACAGAAAGGCUCCAUCUGCAUUUGCUUUGUGCCAACCAUCCUCUGGCGGGAGCCAGUGCUCCGGCGCACGCGGCAUUACCCGUGAUGUCCCCAGGUUUAUUGCCAGCCAUUCGUCGACUAGAGCCAACGACCGUCGAGCGAUGGUAAUCAUGGCGUCGGUAAGCAAAGAUUUAAGCGGGAUUAUUAUUUUGCAGACGGACUCUUCGGUUUUUCAUUCUCUCUCUUUCCCACGUUGGCAAAUUUCCUACGUGGUCGGCACCCUUUCACAUCCAAUCGAUCGAUCGUUUCGACGUCCGAUGUAGCCUCGGAUUGCUGCGUCCACCGUUGUUGUAAAGCCACAUGGGAUCAAUCAAACGUAGAGCCUGGAGAUCUAGGGACCCCGGCUCUUGCAGAACCUACAAUCGUGUUGGUUGUUACCACGCACCACGCACAUGGAUGAGCGAAACAGAUCGAACGGGACAAUGCAGUCCGUUCCUUGCAAAGAACGAAAAUUGAACACCGCGUUCUUAUUUUGGUCCCAGCGGCGGCGGUGAACAUGGCACGUUACGUUGCUGUCGGCGGCCGCAUCAGUCACAACGCCGUGGUGCAUCGUGGGCGGCGGCGACGUGCAAUGCCGGCCGGUAUUCCGGCUGCUUUCGCCGCGGAAGGUGAGUCGCUGACAGGAACAUCCAUCGGUGUCACCGGGAGAACAAUAAUCUCCGAGUCGCUUGCGGACAAGUCGCCCGGGUUUCCCGAGCUACUACGGUGGCCCGUGACGCCGACGGGAUAGAUGAUUGGCACAACGUGCAGGUCGAUCUCACACGCGCGCGUGCUGGAACAGUGGAACCGAACCCGAACAGACUGCCUCAAGGAUUGCCAUCAAGUGAGGACAGAACCAAAAGCGAUGGAAGAGGGAUUCAUCUCUGUUGCAUGCGAUGCACUUGAUCCCUUGCUUGAUCUUCCUUCUCUCCAGCUCCGUACCCACUGCGAGACCGUUCUUGAUCAUACGCCAGACGUGGAUCCGCGCCUUCCCCGGCACAUUCGAACUCCAUAGCGACAGCCACCCACGGUGCUCUUCGCACGAACUAGGCGUUCCUGCUCUGCCCUCUCGGCUCGAUUUAAGCUGCAUGUGAGGGUGAUAAGUUGAUUUAACACUGAAGAUUCCAUUUUUGGUUUGGUUCCAUGCAUAAUAGUCGUCUGUUCCGGCACUUCCCACUUAAAUCUUCAAAAUGUCUUCAACAUCACACUCAAAAAAAACAGCUCAUUAAGCUUCUGUUCAUCCCAUCCUUGACCAUCAGGUAGCAACAAUUCAGCCACUUUGUCAACCGAGGCUUGGGGUUUAUGUCCCAGUGGACGCUGGAGCCCCUCCCUCGGUAUCCAUCUGUCCUGCCAUACAUCAAUUGAUUCACCAUUUCCAAUCCUCCAAAUCAAACCUUCUUGGAGUAAGUUCCUCCCAUGCAUGAUGCUCCUCCAUGUAUAAGAUGCAGCUCCAGGGCACUUAGCAGACAGGAAUCUCCCAUCCUUGAAGUAUCUAGCACGUAGGACCCGGGCACACAAGGAGGUUGGGUUUGUGAGGAUACGCCAUGCUUGCUUAGCCAAAAGUGCUUGGUUGAAAGCGUAGAAGUUUCUGAAACCCAUGCCGCCCCUCCUCUUUUGUGAACACAUUUUGUCCCAACUUACCCAUGGCACCUUCCUUCUUCCCUCCGCUGACCCCCACCAGAACCCCGAUGAUAUAGAUGUUAACUUGCUGCACAUUCUCUUUGAUAACAUAAAGCAGCCCAUAGGAUAAGUAGGGACUGCUUGUAGAACCGACUUGAUCAGUGUUUCUUUACCUUCCAUUGACAGCCCCUUUCCUUUCCAUCCGUGGACCUUGCUCCAUAAUAUGUCUGGGAUGUGCUUAAAAGCCCCAUCAUUCGACCGCCCCACCACUGUUGGUAGGCCUAAGUAUUUCUCUGACACCGCCUCACAUGAGAUACCGGUGACAGUUCUCAGUUCUUCCCUCCUGUCAGCUUGACAUCCCUUCCCGAAGAAAAUGGAUGAUUUUUGUAGAUUCACUCUUUGUCCUGAACACUCUACAUAUGCUUGCAAAAUCUCACGAAGGGCAGUAAGGUUACUUGCACUCGCCUCCAAGAACACGAUGAUGUCAUCGGCGAAGAGGAGGUGAGUGAUCGUCGGCCUUGAUCCACCAAAACCUACCCCCGAGACUUGCUUCUCAGCCUGCGCCUGUCGAACAAGCGCAGAGAAACCCUCCAUACAAAAAAGAAAGAGGUAGGGAGACAAAGGAUCUCCCUGCCUUAAACCCCUGGUUGGAUAGAAAUUUUCCGAGAUGCCCCCAUUCAGCUUCACUGAGAACUGAGCGGAUUGCACACAGCCGGAGGAUGUGCGCCAGGACAUGGAUUUUGGGUGCAGCCGCUUGGCGAUGGUAGCACGGGAUUUAUACAGCCGGUGCGGUUGGCGUUCUAAGAGGCGACUUACAUGAAGAUCUUGUAGCACCUAAUCUUUUUGUUCAUUUUCCUUUGGCUUAUCCAUGUUGAGACAUUGAGUGAUCCGUGAUAUGUAAUGAUUUUGUAACUCGAAUUGAUAAUAAAGCAAUAAAGAGCCGUAUGCAUCAAUUGAUGCAGAGGCUGGGGCUACCCCUUAUCGAAAAAUCCAGCGAAUCAAAUACCAUGUCAGAUGGGCGGAUUGAUCCGUCGUAGACCUUAAUCAGAACAACACUGAAGUCGAACUGCCAGGGCCCUCCUUUCUUGACAUGUUUCCAAUCGCCCUCCGACGAGAAACGAACCACAAACCGAUUAUCCCCAAUGUCGCGGAACUGCGCAGAUCGGUGCAAACCCCACGCCUUUUGCAUUGCCCGUUCCAGCGCUCCAAUCACCAGUUUGCGAGGAGAGCAUACCUUGCCAACGAUCGCCCAAAGGCGCACUGCCGCUCUUGAUCAUCAGCCCAGUGGCCUCCUUAUCUUUCAACAGCAGGUCACCCAUCUUCGCAGAAAGUCCCGCAGCCAACUCAUCCGCGCCAUGAUUCCAUGUUUUAUCCCCACCUCUCAUCGUGCUCCCGUCCAUCCGCGACCGCCAACAUCUCCUGCUUGGUUUCUCAAAUCGAGUGAAGACCAGAGGGCGGAGGCGAGCAACUGGUUGAGCGCAGUAGAGCUCGAACCCCUGGCGCUGGAGAGGGUGAUUCGUGGUCCAUGUUGUGACAUCCUGCAUGGUCACUGUGUCUAUCAAAUAAGCACUAAACUAUACCACAGUAUUGCAACAACAAAUAAAGUACUGCUUGCUUGUUAAAUUCAUGCGUCAGCGAUGAGUUGCUGGGCAACGGAGGCGCUGGAUCUGCGUGCAUGGCUUGCCUUAGGGAAUUAUUUGAAUGAUAGCUCCAAGCAAGCCAGGUGCUUCAGUGAGAUCAGGGCCAGGUGUUGCUGGGGGAUGGAAAUGCAGUAGCUGGGCGGAGGAGAAGCACCCGGAGGCUGGAGGUGGAGUAGAUGCAGAGAUCGGGAGCAUCCAGGCGAGCAGUUGAACAUCGAGGCAGAGCCGGCUCUUGGACGAGCAUCUGAUGGUCGCUGGGCGAAGGGGAAGCGGAUCCCACGUGAUCAUGGCUGGGCGGAGGAGAAGCAGCUCCCAGGUGCUCCUGGGUGAGGGAUCAUGGUGGAGGCAGAUCCCAGGAGCACCUAGGCGAUGAGAUCCUAGUCGAGGCGCUCCUGGGUGAGGAGAUCGUGCUCGAGGACCUGGGCGAAGGCGAGGCGAGGAAAAAGAUGCACGAGGAGGAAGCGAUCACGAGGGGAAUCACGAUAUGCGAUCUGAUACGAAUCAUGGGUAGGAUGGACUUUUUAGCGCUUUUUCACCUGGUCGGAACAUUCCCCCGACGUCUUACAUUUCAGAACGGAGGGAGUACUUUUCAAGUUUGUGUGCUUCUACAUAGAUUCUCAUAUGCUGCCUACAAACAAUUGAGUGCUUCUGUGUUUCCAUGCUUUCAAA